rnacentral:rRNA from 1 species
UCGGAAUCAUUGGGCGUAAAGCGCACGUAGGCGGCUUCGCCCGUCGGAUGUGAAAUCCCUCGGCUCAACCAAGGACGUGCAUCCGAAACUGCGGGGCUUGAGUACUGAAGAGGAUCGCGGAAUUCCCGGUGUAGAGGUGAAAUUCGUAGAUAUCGGGAGGAACACCAGUGGCGAAGGCGGCGAUCUGGGCAGAUACUGACGCUGAGGUGCGAAAGCGUGGGGAGCAAACAGG